AUGUCACAAGCCAACGCUCUCAACUAACUGCCUGCAUUUCUGACCGUCAAGGGGGCCAUUGGUCAACUCUACAACGUGAAUCGUGCUUUCUUCAUCAGCAGGUGAUCCCUCAUCGAAGGAGCUGCGGUCAGCAUAGAUAUCCAUUCCAAUGUCCCAUUUGCCACUGUGGAUUUUAAGCAGAGCCUAUCGUUUUCCUUGCGCCCACCUGAUCAAGUAGAAUGGAGUCGUGAGUCCCUGGUGAGAAGAUGCAUGCUGCUCAGUUGUCCAGUGCGGAGCGGAGAUUGUUGUAUGAAGAAGCCCUGUACACAGUUAUCCACAGCAGGGGCAGACCUGAAGGGGACCACUGUGAGGACAAGGAAGAGCUCCUUCAGUACCUGAAGAAUG